rnacentral:rRNA from 1 species
GAUGAACGCUGGCGGCGUGCCUAAUACAUGCAAGUCGAGCGAACAGACGAGGAGCUUACUCCUCUGACGUUAGCGGCGGACGGGUGAGUAACACGUGGAUAACCUACCUAUAAGACUGGGAUAACUUCGGGAAACCGGAGCUAAUACCGGAUAACAUGUUGAACCGCAUGGUUCAACAGUGAAAGACGGUCUUGCUGUCACUUAUAGAUGGAUCCGCGUCGCAUUAGCUAGUUGGUAAGGUAACGGCUUACCAAGGCAACGAUGCGUAGCCGACCUGAGAGGGUGAUCGGCCACACUGGAACUGAGACACGGUCCAGACUCCUACGGGAGGCAGCAGUAGGGAAUCAUCCGCAAUGGGCGAAAGCCUGACGGAGCAACGCCGCGUGAGUGAAGAAGGUCUUCGGAUCGUAAAACUCUGUUAUUAGGGAAGAACAAAUGUGUAAGUAACUAUGCACGUCUUGACGGUACCUAAUCAGAAAGCCACGGCUAACUACGUG